rnacentral:rRNA from 1 species
ACGCUAGCUACAGGCUUAACACAUGCAAGUCGAGGGCAGCGGGUUGAAAGCUUGCUUUCAAUGCCGGCGACCGGCGCACGGGUGCGUAACGCGUAUCAAACCUGCCUCAUACUCGGGGAUAGCCUUGCGAAAGUAAGAUUAAUACCCGAUGUUGUUGCUUUCUCGCAUGGGAGAGUAACCAAAGAUUUAUCGGUAUGAGAUGGUGAUGCGUCCGAUUAGGUAGUAGGCGGGGUAACGGCCCACCUAGCCUUCGAUCGGUAGGGGUUCUGAGAGGAAGGUCCCCCACACUGGAACUGAGACACGGUCCAGACUCCUACGGGAGGCAGCAGUGAGGAAUAUUGGUCAAUGGGCGAGAGCCUGAACCAGCCAAGUAGUGUGCAGGAUGACGGCCCUCCGGGUUGUAAACUGCUUUUAGUUGGGAAUAAAAAAAGGGACUUGUCCCUUCUUGUAUGUACCUUCAGAAAAAGGACCGGCUAAUUCCGUGCCAGCAGCCGCGGUAAUACGGAAGGUCCAGGCGUUAUCCGGAUUUAUUGGGUUUAAAGGGAGCGUAGGCGGAUUGUUAAGUCAGCGGUUAAAGGGUGUGGCUCAACCAUGCAUUGCCGUUGAAACUGGCGAUCUUGAGUGCAGACAGGGAUGCCGGAAUUCGUGGUGUAGCGGUGAAAUGCUUAGAUAUCACGAAGAACUCCGAUCGCGAAGGCAGGUGUCCGGGCUGCAACUGACGCUGAGGCUCGAAAGUGUGGGUAUCAAACAGGAUUAGAUACCCUGGUAGUCCACACAGUAAACGAUGUAUACUCGCGGUUUGCGAUAGACAGUAAGCCGCCAAGCGAAAGCAUUAAGUAUACCACUUGGGGAGUACGCCGGCAACGGUGAAACUCAAAGGAAUUGACGGGGGCCCGCACAAGCGGAGGAA